rnacentral:rRNA from 1 species
AGCGAACGCUGGCGGCAGGCUUAACACAUGCAAGUCGAGCGGGCACUUCGGUGUCAGCGGCAGACGGGUGAGUAACACGUGGGAACGUACCCUUUGGUUCGGAAUAACGCUGGGAAACUAGCGCUAAUACCGGAUACGCCCUUUUGGGGAAAGGCUUGCUGCCGAAGGAUCGGCCCGCGUCUGAUUAGCUAGUUGGUGGGGUAAUGGCCUACCAAGGCGACGAUCAGUAGCUGGUCUGAGAGGAUGAUCAGCCACACUGGGACUGAGACACGGCCCAGACUCCUACGCGAGGCAGCAGUGGGGAAUAUUGGACAAUGGGCGCAAGCCUGAUCCAGCCAUGCCGCGUGAGUGAUGAAGGCCUUAGGGUUGUAAAGCUCUUUUGUCCGGGACGAUAAUGACGGUACCGGAAGAAUAAGCCCCGGCUAACUUCGUG